rnacentral:rRNA from 1 species
AGUGAACGCUGGCGGUAGGCCUAACACAUGCAAGUCGAACGGCAGCACAGUAAGAGCUUGCUCUUACGGGUGGCGAGUGGCGGACGGGUGAGGAAUACAUCGGACUCUACUUUUUCGUGGGGGAUAACGUAGGGAAACUUACGCUAAUACCGCAUACGACCUACGGGUGAAAGCAGGGGAUCUUCGGACCUUGCGCGAUUGAAUGAGCCGAUGUGGGAUUAGCUAGUUGGCGGGGUAAAGGCCCACCAAGGCGACGAUCCGUAGCUGGUCUGAGAGGAGGAUCGGCGACACUGGAACGGAGACACGGUCCAUACUCCUACGGGAGGCAGCAGUGGGGAAUAGUGGACAAUGGGCGCAAGCCUGAUCCAGCCAUACCGCGUGGGUGAAGAAGGCCUUCGGGUUGUAAAGCCCUUUUGUUGGGAAAGAAAAGCAGCAGGUUAAUACCCCGCUGUUCUGACGGUACCCAAAGAAUAAGCACCGGCUAACUUCGUG